rnacentral:rRNA from 1 species
AGAGUUUGAUCCUGGCUCAGAACGAACGCUGGCGGCGUGCUUAACACAUGCAAGUCGAACGCGAAAGCUCGGGCAACUGGGCGAGUAGAGUGGCGAACGGGUGAGUAAUACGUGGGUAACCUGCCCUUGAGUGGGGAAUAACUCCUCGAAAGGGGAGCUAAUACCGCAUAAGACCACGAACUCUUUGGAGGUUGAGGUCAAAGGUAGCCUCGCGAAUCAAAGCCUUCAGAUCUCCGCUCUGUAACAGAGCGGAGAUCUGAAGGCUUUAUCGAGAGAAGCUUCCGCUUAAGGAGGGGCUCGCGGCCCAUCAGCUAGUUGGUAGGGUAAUGGCCUACCAAGGCUACGACGGGUAGCUGGUCUAAGAGGACGACCAGCCACACGGGAAUUGAGAUACGGUCCCGACUCCUACGGGAGGCAGCAGUGGGGAAUCUUGGGCAAUGGGGGAAACCCUGACCCAGCGACGCCGUGUGGGGGACGAAGGCCUUCGGGUUGUAAACCCCUGUUAGAUGGGACGAACGUCUCUUCGUGAAUAAUGAGGAGACUUGACGGUACCAUCAGAGAAAGCCCCGGCUAACUCCGUGCCAGCAGCCGCGGUAAUACGGAGGGGGCGAGUGUUGUUCGGAAUUAUUGGGCGUAAAGGGCGCGCAGGCGGCUUGGCGAGUCGAGUGUGAAAUCCCUUGGCUUAACUGAGGAACGGCGCUCGAAACUACCUCGCUAGAGGGCGGGAGAGGGAAGUGGAACUCUCGGUGUAGGGGUGAAAUCUGUAGAUAUCGAGAGGAACACCGGUGGCGAAGGCGGCUUCCUGGCCCGCAUCUGACGCUGAGGCGCGAAAGCGUGGGGAGCAAACAGGAUUAGAUACCCUGGUAGUCCACGCCCUAAACGAUGGGCACUAGGUGUGGGCGGUAUUAAUCCCGCCUGUGCCGAAGCUAACGCAUUAAGUGCCCCGCCUGGGGAGUACGGUCGCAAGGCUGAAACUCAAAUGAAUUGACGG